GGCUUGAUAGCUCAGUCAGCAGAGCACGAGACUCUUAAUCUCAGGGUUGUGGGUUUGAGCCCCACCUUGGGCA